AUUGAACGCUGGCGGAAUGCUUUACACAUGCAAGUCGAACGGCAGCACGGGUGCUUGCACCUGGUGGCGAGUGGCGAACGGGUGAGUAAUACAUCGGAACGUACCCAGUUGUGGGGGAUAACUAACCGAAAGGUUAGCUAAUACCGCAUACGACCUGAGGGUGAAAGCGGGGGACCGUAAGGCCUCGCGCAAUUGGAGCGGCCGAUGUCUGAUUAGCUAGUUGGUAGGGUAAAGGCCUACCAAGGCGACGAUCAGUAGCUGGUCUGAGAGGAGGAUCAGGCACACUGGAACUGAGACACGGUCCAGACUCCUACGGGAGGCAGCAGUGGGGAAUUUUGGACAAUGGGCGAAAGCCUGAUCCAGCCAUUCCGCGUGAGUGAAGAAGGCCUUCGGGUUGUAAAGCUCUUUCGGCAGGGAAGAAACGGCCUAGGUUAAUACCUUGGGCUAAUGACGGUACCUGAAGAAGAAGCACCGGCUAACUACGUGCCAGCCGCCGCGGUAA
rnacentral:rRNA from 1 species